CCCUAGCAGGCAGCUUAUGUACAGUAUAUAUCACUGAUCAUGAUAUCUAUUCUGCUCUUGCUUUGGACGCUUGCUGCAUGCAGAGGCCUAUGAAGAGGAAGUCGAGGAAGGAGAACAAGAUGAGGAGAAGCCCAAGUUCAA